ensembl:snRNA
GAUUGAUUUGAAAGAAGAGAAGGCUAGCACUUCCCUGGAUAAGGAUAAGAUAUCGUACUGACCCUACUCUAUGACAUCUACUUUUUUUU